AGUGAACGCUAGUGGCGUGCUUAACACAUGCAAGUCGAACGGACGAUAUUUGUGCUUGCACAAAUAAAGUUAGUGGCAAACGGGUGAGUAAUACAUGAGAAUUUUCCUUGCAGUACGGAAUAACUAUUGGAAACAGUAGCUAAUACCGUAUAUUGCCGAGAGGUGAAAGAUUUAUCGCUGCAAGAUAAGCCCAUGCAAGAUUAGCUUGUUGGUAAGGUAAUGGCUUACCAAGGCUACGAUCUUUAGCUGGUUUGAGAGGAUGAUCAGCCACACUGGAACUUAGACACGGUCCAGACUCCUACGGGAGGCAGCAGUGAGGAAUAUUGGACAAUGGACGAAAGUCUGAUCCAGCUAUACCACGUGAGUGACGAAGGCUUUCGAGUCGUAAAGCUCUUUCAUUUGUGAUGAUAAUGACAUUAGCAAAAUAAGAAGCCCUGGCAAAGUCCGUGCCAGCCGCCGCCGUAAAAC
rnacentral:rRNA from 1 species